CGAACACGAAGAAGAAACGAAGAAGAAGAAGAAACGGUGGCUUGUUCUGUCCCGAUAUCCCACCGCUUUCAGAAACGAAGAGGAAGAAAACGAACCUAACUCGUCCGAGAGAGCGCGGCACCGAUGGCUCCUCCUGUUUCUCAGCCCAUAAAGUCUCUCAACACUGGCCCCGGCCGUCGACGCUUUGUGUUCAAGACGUUCUCUCAGCGUCUCGAGGACGUAGACGUCAAUGUCUUUCGCAGCCUGGAGCCGGUGAAGCCAGAGCCAGCGCAAGGGUCGACCUUCUUCAAGGAUGCUCUGGUUUAUUGGCGGGAAUUAAAUACUGCGGAGGAUUUUAUAUCAGUCUACGAGGAAGUAAUGCCUUUAGUGCAAACAUUGCCACAAAUACUAUUGCAUAAGGAAAAUCUUGUAUCAAAACUCUUGGAAAAGAUCCAUAUGCAGGCAAAAUUGUCUCUUGAACCUCUUCUCAGGUUGACUGCAGUUCUUUCCAGAGAUCUCCAAGAAGAAUUUCUACCUUUUCUCCGGAGGUUAUGCAAAUCAAUUGUUGAACUUUUAAAUAGCGGUGGUGAUCGGGAUCCUGAUAUUCUUGAACAGGUCUUCACGUCGCUUUCUCAGACUUUUAUGUAUCUUCGGAAGUUUCUUGUCAAAGAUAUCGUUAACCUGCUCAAGACAACAAAGAAUCUGAGAUUCUACCCCCGUGACUAUGUUCAAGAAUUUGCAGCUGAGGCACUAUCUUUUUUGCUAAGAAGUGCGUCACCCGAGCAACUCAUUAAAGGUGUUAGAAAGUUAUGUUACGAAGUGUUAAAGUUCCCCACGUCAACAAUAAAAAAUGGGGUGUCUACUUUACUGUGGCAUAGCAUGAGAGGGUCUUCCUCACGACUUCAUUCAAAAGCCAAGCCAAUGGUUCUCCUUUUGAUGGAUAUGUCUAUAUAUGAAUACGCUGAUAAAGUUGGCAAUGGAGCCAAUACUUUUGCUGAGGUUGUAAAUGGAGCUUUUCAGAGAAUAUGCAAGGAACUCCAUGCUCAGGACAUGGACCUAUUGUUGAAGUGCUUAUUUGAGGAGAUGUCUGAUUGCAUAAAGAGCGGAGCUAGGAUGGAUGCUGCAUCUGCGUUGGUAGUCGAAGGGAAUGAUUUAUGUACCACAAAUGGAUUAGAAGGUGGCCUGGACUCAUCAUACUCAAAACAUUGUUCACAACAUGGUUCAGAGAGUGUUGACAGCAAUUCUAAACAUUUAUUGCAUCUCAGUCGCUUGUUGUCUUUUCUUAUCUCCAUUGUGCAAACUGACAAUGGUAAAAAGCUUUCUGAUUUUCACUUCUUGUUGGAGCUUGUGGGGUUACUCAUAGAAAAGUUCAUUGCAUCUGGUACCAUAAUGGAGGAAGACAUGUACAGUUGUAGAGUAGUUGAUGAUAUUUUAGAGCUAAUGCUGACUCUACUUGGUGUUCCUCGAGUUUCUAAUGACUUGUCAAGAAUAUCAGACUUAUCAAUGCAAUGGAGUUGUGUAUUUGACAUUAGGAGCAGAAGGUUAUUUAAUUUUAUAAAAGGUUUGCUUCUGAAGAACUUAUCAGUGGUCAGUGCCUACCGAAACCAUAUAUUUAGAUUUAUGAAUCAAAUGAUUGAGACUUUUCCAGAAGAAACUUUAUGCUUGAUGCUGAUGUUUUAUGAGAAACCUCAAGAAAUUGCACAAAGGGACGAAGCAGUUGGCCGAAACAUUUCUCUCUUUUGCCAAAAUGUUAUCACUUCUUGGAUCAGGCAGAUAAAUUAUGAUGAGAGGUUUGGAGAGGUCAGGUUGUUUGAUAACCUCGAAGUUGCUAAACUAUGGGGAACUAUUAUGUGCUAUCCCCAUGUUCUUCCUUCUGCAUCAAAUGGUUCUUUGUUGAUGGACCUUGUGAAUGCGAUUGAUCAUCUUCUUCUUACUGAAGCCGACCAGGUUGCAGGUCAGAUGAGGUUCACUUGGCAGGGUGUCAUUGGUGCUGCUCUGUCUUCAUACCGACUAUCUGUUGUGCGGGGAGGUGAAGUUUCACAAAUGACCAGUAGAUUUGUGUCUCUUGCACAAAGAUAUAAAAAAUCUUGUCAUGUUUUAUCUGCUGUGGCAGAUUUUUUGGAUGAUGUUCUUAGAUCCAAUCAAGAAAGGAGCAAUGAGACUGAGGUUAUUGCUGAACUUAAGAGUGAGAGGAGUCUGGAAGCAUUUGAUGUAUUUUCUGUGAAUUUGGGAGACCCUAAUAAAGAGAUUCGUCUUUCAACUCUAAGAAUACUAUGUCACUAUGAGCCACUUGAUUCUCAAGUGGCUAAAAGUGACCAGCCUAUGGAUUCAAAAGGAAAGGACAGACCAAUCUCUAUUCAUGAAGAUCUUCAAGAUAAUAAUGUUCUGCAACUAUUACGGUCAAUUGAAACAACACCUCUCUCCAUUUCAACAAUCAGGAGUGUAGAAUUGUGUAUUUCUAAAAUACAAACGGAACUCUCAGCAGGAAGGGUACCUGAAGCUUAUUUGCCGGUUCUCGUGCACGGACUUAUUGGAGUACUUCAUAUUCGGUUCAGUGACCUGCAGAAAUCAUCACUAGAUUGCCUUGCUGUCCUUCUUGAAAGACAUACACCCACUGUUUGGGAUGGUUACGUUCAAUACCUGAGACAUUAUGUGUCGACUUCCUCUGAGUUGCACGAGGAAUUGAAUGUGCCUACCACUGCAUGUGUCACUAUGACUAAGUCAAAUGAUCUGCUUGACAGAUUUCACUUGUCUUUAAACCAUCAGUCUGAUAGCACACCGCCUAUGGUAGUGUUAACAUUGCUGCUGCAGUCACUCCAAAAAGUGCCAAUUAUCACAGAGACUUAUUCUUAUGAAAUUAUCCCAUUGUUCUUCAAGUUUUUGGGCUAUGCAGACAAGGUUCCUUUCUGCAUGGAUAUCUAUGAUCGCGAUGUCUGUAAAGGCAAGAAAUGGAAGGCUCUUCUGAAGGAAUGGCUGAACUUGUUCAAAAGCGUGCAUAAUCCUAGGUCUUUAUGUAGCUGCAAUGAACUUAAGCAGGUUCUGAUAAACAGGUUUCUAGAUGAUACUGAUUCAGAUAUUCAGAUGGGUGUCAUGGAUAUCCUAGCAAACUGGAAGGAUGAAGAACUGCUUCCAUAUGAUGUGCAUCUAAGAAAUUUGAUAAAUGUGAAGGUUUUACGAGAAGAAUUGACAGCAUGGAAGUUGUCCAAGGAGUCUCAUUCAAUAGAAGAAAGCCACAGAGAAUACUUAAUUCCCAUGGUUAUUAGAAUAUUAAUGCCAAAAGUCAGAAAAAUCAAGGCUCUAACUUCACGAAAGAAUGCAGGUGCAGCUCGACGGAAGGCCGUUCUUUGCUUCUUAAGUCAGCUAGAAGUUGAAGAGUUACCUCUUUUCUUCUCAUUGUGUUUUCGGAAUAUAUGUAUGUUGCCAGAUGGCACUGGUUUUGUACAUAGGUCGUACACUUCUGUUCUACAAUAUGUUCAAGAGGUACAGUUGUCAGAUUUUUUCAAGAGUUUCUCUUCAGACAAUUUAGGGAAUCUACAGUGGAAGAAGAUACAUGGAUUCCUUCAUAUUCUGGAGGACAUAUUGAAAGCUUUCCAAGAAUCACAUAUCAAGCCUUUCCUUGGGCUCUUAAUGAUGCUUGUUAUUCAGAUUCUUGAGUGCUGCAAAUCUAGUUUGGUGAUGAAGGCAUCAAACAUAUCCUUGGUGGCAAUUAGUCGUGGCGUCGAUGCAACAAUGACUGAUGGCAGAGACAAGACCCCAAUGUUGGAAGGGCCUUGUGAGCAUGUGGAUUAUGGGGACGAAUUUAAUGAUGUUGGUUCUGGGAAAGCUCAGACAGACACAGAGGAAGACAGACUAAGCUGCGACUCUUUCAAGAGCUCUAAUGUCUUGCAAAAUGGUGUAAUUACAAAGCAGUAUAAGGACAUAAGAGCACUUUGCCUAAAAAUUCUGUCAUUUGUUCUCCAUAAAUAUGGAUCAUACAAGUUUAGCAGGGAGUUUUGGGAUUCCUUUUUCAUUUCAGUGGAGCCACUUAUUGAAAAUUUCACACGGGAGAGCUCUAGUAGUGAAAAGCCAAGUUCUUUGUUGUCAUGCUUUUUGGCUAUGAGCAAAAAUAGUGACCUUGUUCAUCUCUUUGAGAGGAAGCAAAGUCUUGUCCCAAGUAUUCUUUCAAUUUUAUCUGUAACUUCUGCAUCUAGUUCUGUUAUAUCAGCUGUUCUGGGUUUCUUGGAGAACCUUCUGAUGCUGGAUGAAGAAAUGGAACAUGAACAUAGUGUGGUAAAGAAAAUCUUGAUGCCUCAUCUCAGUAUUCUAUUAUCCGAUCUGCAUGGACUUUUACUACGUCAUAAGGGGACUCAAAGUAAGAAAACAAUCACGUGGCCUGGGGAUGAUCAGCUCAGAUUGCUCAGGCUUUUGCUGAAGUACGUAGACCAGCCUUCCCUAGCAGAAAUGUUUAUUUCUAUUGCUCUACAAAGUUUGGAGAAGAAAAAUAUAAAUUCUGAUCACUGUGUUGAAGCUAUGCACAUAAUCGAGGAGGUAUUGCCGCUUAUAGGUCCUGGAAGUUCUGAAAGUGUUCUGAAUAUGAUUCCUUCAGUUCUUAUAAGUGCUGGGCCAGCAAUAAGGUUGGCAAUCUCCGACAUUCUGGAUGGUCUAUCAACUGGUGAUCCAUCUUUAACUUCUCUGGCUAAAUUAGUCCAUGAUCUAAAUGCAAUGUCCGUCUCAGAAAUUGAUGAGUUUGAUUAUGAGACCCGAAUUGGGGCAUAUGAGAAGAUAAACAUGAAGCUAUUUUCUGAGAUGAAAGAGUCACAUGCUGUGGUCAUUUUAUCACACUGUGUAUAUGAUAUGUCAUCAGAAGAGUUGCUGCUGAGACAAAGCGCAUCAAAGUCACUUCUGGCCUUUGUUCAAUUAUCCAGCGUGGUUUUGGAUAAUUCAUGCAAAAAAUCUGCAGACCAACAAUCAUCUGGGAGGAACCAUGAAAACAAUUCUGGAGUUAUUGUCACAAUCGAACCUGAUUGCUGCUGGACCAUAGCAGCCAUCCAUCGCACCAUACACAAGUUUUUCUUAUUACAUAUGAGGGAAGCUAUGGGCCAGGCGAUCUUUAUUCAGAAGGAAUGGAUUGCUUUGUUAAGAGAAAUGGUGUUGCAUCUUUCAGGAAUGCCAAUGUUCCAUGCAUGCCGUCCUCUUUGUAGUGAGGAUGCUGAAGUUGACUUCUUCAACAAUGUCCUCCAUUUGCAGAAGCAUAGAAGGGCUAGAGCACUUUUGCGUUUUAAAGAUGCUGUUUGUUCUCAUGGCAUCCCUGAGGAGAUUACCAUCAAGGUGUUUUCUCCACUCUUUUUCCACAUCCUCUUUGACUUGAAAGAAGGCGAAGAUGAGCACGUUCGAAGAGCUUGCUUGGAGUCUCUUGCUUCUAUAUCAAAGAGUUUGGGUUGGGAAUCCUACUGUAAGUACUUGAUGCAUUGUUUUCGUGAGAUGCGCUUGAAGCCUGACAGAAGUAAGGUCCUUGUACGGCUUAUCUGCUUAGUCUUGGACAUGUUCCAUUACUAUGAAGGAGAAGAUCCAGAUUGCAAAGAGAUUGAGAUUUCAAAUGGUAUUUCUGAUGCCAGCAAUCUGUGCACUGAUUUAGAGAAAAAGUCAAUUAACACUUGUAUAAUCUCACCUCAAAUACAGGCUUCGUUACAAAAGUCAGUACUUCCUCAAAUAGUAAAAAUUAUGUCAGCAGAUUCUGUGAAAAUUAAUGUUCCAAUCAACGUUGCUGCGCUAAAGCUGCUUAAGUUGCUGCCGUCUGAGAUAAUGGACUCACAUCUUUCGGGCGUUAUUCAUCGAAUUGUUAACUUCCUAAGGAGUCGUGUUGAAAGUGAACGUGAUGAAGCUAGGUCUGCAUUGGCUGCAUGCCUGAAGGAGCUUGGUCCUAAAUACCUGUCUUUUGUUGUUAAAAUUCUUCGGUCAACAUUAAAAAGAGGUUAUGAACUGCAUGUAUUAGGUUAUACUCUAAAUUUCUUGUUGUCCAAGGUUGAACCUUGUGUUUAUGAGCUUGAUCACUGUUUGGAAGACUUACUCAUGGUAGUAGAAAAUGAUAUCUUUGGUGAUGUUGGCGAGCAGAAGGAAGUUGGAAAAAUUGCUUCCAAACUGAAGGAAGCUAGAAAGAAAAAAUCUUUCGAGACACUGAAAUUGAUUGCACAAAGUAUUACAUUUAAGACAAAUGCUGUCAAGUUGUUUUCACCUGUGAAGAUCCAUCUCAAGAAUCCCAUGCCAAGAGAGAAAGCAAUGAUCGAAGAAAUGCUGCAUAAUAUAGCUGAAGGGAUUGAAAAAAAUCCCUCAGUAGAUCAUUCUGAUCUUUUGGUUUUCAUCUAUGGGCUUAUUGAAGAUUAUCUUGCAGAUGAAAGGUUUCAAUCUAAAGAGCCUGCUGCCUUACAAAAUGGAAUGAGAUUCGAAAGUGAAGGGAAACGGAAAAGCUUUUAUGAUUUACUUGGAAACAGAAGCAACCACCUUAUAGCUGCAUUUGCUCUUCGUAUACUGUUCGAUCGUUUGAAGAAAAUGAAGCUGGAUAAGAGUAAUAGGGAAUUAUUAUCAAUGCUGGAUCCAUUUGUGGAGCUUUUGCGGAACUGCCUACAGUCCAAGUAUGAAGACAUCUUAUCAGGAUCUCUUAGGUGUCUUAUAGUUCUGAUAAGGCUACCUUUACCAUCAUUUGAGCAGCAGGUAGAAAACAUAACAGCCUUUAUUUUGGAAGUAUCCCAGAAGCCUUUGAAGGCAAAUGAUCUACUAACACAGGCUUCUUUCAAACUUUUGAUAAGGCUAUUACGUGAUCCAAAAUAUCCAUUUUCAGUGAGUCAACUACAAAUGCUUAUGCGGUGUCCCCUACUUGUGGAUCUAGAGAGUAAUCCGUCUGCAAUUUCUCUCUCACUUUUGAAGGCCAUAGUUGCUCGAAAGCUGGUAGUACCUGAGAUAUAUGAUGUUGUUUGUCGGGUUUCUAGGUUGAUGGUCACAAGCCAAUCACCUCCAAUGUCUCAAAGGUGUAGCAAGAUACUUUUGCAAUUUCUUAUGGAUUACCCAUUUACUCCUAAACGCUUACAGCAGCAUCUAGACUUCUUGGUGGAGAAUAUGAGCUAUGAGCAUGCAAGUGGGCGAGAAGCAGUGCUUGAAAUGGUUUACUCUAUAAUAAAAAAGUUUCAGCCUAAAGCUGUUGGUAAUUUGGCUGAGACUUUUAUUCUCCCUUUGGUGCUGCGUUUGUCUAAUGAACUUGAUAAUCAAGUCCAUGCAAUGGUUGCAAAGGUGAUAAAGAUUCUGUUAGGGCGCAUAAAGAAAUACUCCAGUACAAAUGUGCUUCAAAAUAUUCUUCAGUAUGGCCUUUCAUGGUAUGCAGGUGGAAAUCCCAAUUUGUGGUCUGCUGCAGCACAGUUCCUUAGCUUGCUGAUUGAGGUCCUAAAAGGAAGUUUCAGUGUGAAGUAUAUGGAUGAUAUUAGACCAGUAAUGGAGAGGAUAUUGAGGACUGCUCUUCCCACAAGUGAAGGCCUAGGAAGUGAUUCUGUUGGAAAAGAAAAGUACAUUGAUGAUGCUUGGUAUUCACUUCUGCUGAUGGAGAAGCUGUGGUUUCAGUUUACAGAUGCUUUUUUCCAAACACCUUUUGAGGGUAUAUGGGAGCUCGUUCUUGAAUUUCUCAUGCAUCCAAAUCACAGGCUUCAUGAGACAGCAACUUGCCUGAUAAACUCUUAUUUCAGCACUUCAUCAAAGCAAUUAGGACUGAAAGAAUCAAAAUCUAACCAGGAAUUUCCACUACUGCUGAAACCAAGUAGGCUAUUUGCUGUAGCCAGUUCUCUUUGUUGUCAACUUGAGGCACAUCCUGCUGGACCAAAUUAUACCCCGUGCAACACAAUUGUGGAGAAUCUUGUAUUUUCAAUCUGUGGUUUAUACUCUUUUGCUAAGCAUAACUGUGAUCAGAAGUUGCAUGAAUAUUGGUCCAGCCUUGCUGCUUUAGACCACAUGCUUAUUCUCAAAUUUCUUGAAUUGCUUGGAGCAAAAAAGGAGAAAAAUGUUCUCAUUUGCUUGGGAAAUGAGAACCUUGAGGAGGACGUUGCAUCUUUGUUAGUUGUCCCGUUGCUUAAGAAACUGGGUGACGUAGUCCUCCAAUCUCCAAAUUUGGAGCAGAUAAAAGUGGUUUUUAGUUGCUUUAAGCUGAUCUUGACAGAGAUUGGUCUGGAGGGCUGUCUAGAAUAUGCAGCCAUCUUUCUGCUUCCUCUAUAUAAAAUUUCUGAAGGAUUUGCUGGGGUAGUCUUCACUGAUGAGGCAAAAUACCUAGCAGAAGAGCUCCGGGAUAGCAUCCGUGGCAUUCUUGGCAUGGAAGAGUUUGUAAGGGUGUAUGAGCGGAUCCGGAAGAAUGUGAGGAUAAAGAGGGAUAAGAGGAGGCAAGCAGAGAAGGUAACCGCCGUUGUCAAUCCCAUGCGCAGUGCGAAGAGAAAACUCAGGAUUGCGGAGAAACAUAGGGCUCACAAGAAGAGGAAACUCACGUUGAUGAAGAUGGGGAGGUGGGGGAUGUAAACCCCAAGGAUUUUCUACCAGUGUACAGCUGCUGAUUCAAGUCUUCUUUUGGUCUUAAUUUUGGGGAGUUGCAGAGAGAGCCUUCGGUUCAGCAUUUUCUGAUGAUGAACGUUCUCCUGGAAUCACAGGGCGCCUGUUGACGGGGCGCUCUAGAUGGUAAUUAUAUUGAGUGUAAAGCGAGGAUGAAAGGGAUACACGGAAAACAGCAAGUUGGUUGAGGAGUUCUUGAAAGAAAGCGAUGCAAGAGUACUCAAGAGGCAGGGUGGAAGAUUCGAGUCCGUCUCUCUCAAUAGGCCUUAUUAGUUAGUGAUGCUUCGCUUCACCUCUUCACUUUUCCCGCGCCCUUUUGGUACCACAGCGUUGCGCGCACUCUCUCCCAUGGGGAAGACAAUGGAAACAGCAGCGGUGCGCAAUACAAGAAUGAGUCGCCAGAAGGUAAUGAAGGGCCUGCUCGUCCAACAUGUCGAGGAUGAGAACAGAACUUUCAUGGGAGCCGCCAACCCUCAUGGAGCCAUGGCAAACUCAAGGCAAUUAUUUUCCUAGUAACCAGCAAUCUGUCCCUUUCAC